UUGGUUCAGUUAGCUGCAGCUGAGUUUGUGUCAUGGUGCCUCAUGUUGUGUGUAUGGAGGGAAUAACAAGAUGAUCUUUGGAAGUGGAACCAGAUUAAUCAUUGAACCCAGGGACGAAUACCGACCGUCCUACUAUGAACUGGAACAUGGUAAUACCAAGGUGUGCCUUGCCACUGGAUACAGCAGACAAAAGGCAACAGAAAAACAUCCCCUCUUUAAUGACACGGAUAUUACAAACAGGGCCGUUCGGAUAGAAGGAGACUCCCUGUUCAACAAUGUGGUUUUCUUAAAUCGUUCAGAUGAAAUCCUAUGUGAAAACGAGACUAAACCUGAGGGAGAGACUCCAUGUGUCGAUAUGGUUGAGAAAGAUCCGACGGUGAACACAAUGGCUCUGACCAUGCUGGUCCUCAGAGUGAUCUUCAUCAAGACCAUCGUCUUCAACCUCCUGAUGACUCUGCGGCUGUGGAUCAGUCACUAACUCGACCGACCUUCACCAGAAGAAAACUCCAAGAUGACAAAUUUGAUGACCAUUGGAUCAAUUUGAUGAAAAAUCAUUUUCAUCUGCUUCUGUAUUGUGUAUAAAUAUCAUAUGAGCUGUUCAUCAUACGUCUGUUAACAUCAUCAUACUGUAUUACAUGUAGUGUUUAUUGAUAAGUUUAAGUUAGUUUUUUUGUCAUAUUGUCAGUGAUGUUGUUUUUGAUGGAGGUUUUACUCUUCCUGUCGUGCUGAUGUAAAUAUCACAGUUACAUUUAACAGUCUGAGCGACUGUCCAGCUUCCUGUAAAACUCAAGAAAAACUUUUAAAAACAGUGCUGUGUGAAAUUUACUGUGUGAUACUGUUACAAUAAAAACUGAAAUCAGACUGAAA